rnacentral:rRNA from 1 species
AUUGAACGCUGGCGGCAUGCCUUACACAUGCAAGUCGAACGGCAGCACGGGAGCAAUCCUGGUGGCGAGUGGCGAACGGGUGAGUAAUAUAUCGGAACGUGCCCAGUCGUGGGGAUAACGUAGCGAAAGCUACGCUAAUACCGCAUACGAUCUAUGGAUGAAAGCGGGGGGAUCGCAAGACCUCGCGCGAUUGGAGCGGCCGAUAUCAGAUUAGGUAGUUGGUGAGGUAAAGGCUCACCAAGCCGACGAUCUGUAGCUGGUCUGAGAGGACGACCAGCCACACUGGGACUGAGUCACGGCCCAGACUCCUACGGGAGGCAGCAGUGGGGAAUUUUGGACAAUGGGCGCAAGCCUGAUCCAGCAAUGCCGCGUGCAGGAUGAAGGCC